ensembl:lincRNA melanoma-associated antigen D4-like
GCUGGCUGUCUGAAGAGGAGAGGGUGAAGGAAAUAUGGCGGGAAGAACACCCCCCUCCAUCCUCGCCGCAGCCCACCCAGCCGCGGAAUCGCAUGCGCACUGGGGACCUGGAGGAAAGGGCUUUUGUUGGGAAAUCAGGCCCACCGGAGGGGUCCGCGCAUGCGCAGGCUCCCCAGCCGCAGGGGGUGCGCGGAGAAGAGGGGCGGGGUGGUCUGAGCUGCUGUGCUGGCAGCAGUAGGCGAGGGCGCGGCUGCGGGGUUCCUGGUGCUGAGCACGGACGCCAUUGGAGCCCCAGGGAAGGUAAGGAUCCAGCCCCAGACAGGACCGGACGAGGGCGAGUGCAAGCCCACACGCUGCGCCCUCUCCCUGCCCUCUGGAUCUGAACAAAGCCCUAGCCCUCAGAACCGGAACCUCAUGAGACCCAACGUCGCGAUAGGACCCCCAGCACCGAGACCGACAGACUCAAGCGCCCCUGUCCCAGCCGGGAGCUGCCCGGGAGCCUGCCAGCUCAACCGAUGUGACAGACCCUGAGCCGAAGAAACAGCCUGCCACCGGGUCCCGCCCCCUGCCCCUGAGGCAGAGCUCUCAGCUCCCUGGGAGCCCCAGCAUGGCUGAGGGAAGCUACAGUGUGCAAUCUGGAAACUCCAGUGUCGAAGACAUGGAUGAGGGGAGCCACCAAGUCAGGGUGGCAGAGAUGGUUGGAGGCAGCGACUAUGAAGAGUUUGGUGCCUUUGGUGGCUAUGGCACACUCACCAGCUUUGACAUCCAUCUGCUCAGAGCCUUUGACACCUUGGGUUCCGGCUUUCACAUCUUAGCGAAUGAGCCCUGGGAGCUGGAAAGUCCUGUGCUGGCUCAGACCCUGGUGGAGGCAUUGCAGCUGGAUCCAGAAACCCUUGCCAAUGAGACCGAGGCCCAUGCCGCCAGUGUCGCCCGCUCUGCCGCCUCCAACCGAGCCGCUCGGGCCGCUGCCGCUGCCGCCCGCAGGUCCAUCCGUCAGGUGGUGGCUCACCACAUGGUGCCCACACAGCCGGCCACAGGAGACGGUGCCCAGCCUGGGACAUACUCUGAGGCUCAGGGGCCCGCCCCGGAGGCAAUCCUGGUCUCACCUCCGACAUCCCAGAUGUCAGUCGUCAGUGAGAUGGCCGCCCCUGGGGCUCCAGCAGUCUCCACGCAUUCCCAGACGGCCUCCCUGGACCAGGCGGCUGCUGCCAGGGGUCCAAGUACUGCCUGUGCUGGGGGUCCUAGUCCCGCCUGUGCCGAGGGUCCCAGUACUGCCUGUGCCGAGGGUCCUAGUACUGCCUGUGCUUUCUCUCAGGCUCCAAGUGCCAGUGAAACGGAUGCCACCUGGCCCCAGGCAGGCUUCCUGGGCCAGAAGGAUGUCUUUGAUUUCACUCAGCCAGCAGGUGUCAGUGGCAUGGCCUUCACCCGCCCCAAGAGACCUGCUCCAGCCCAAGAGGCCGCCACGGAGGACCCUAGUGCCGCCUCUGGUGGGCCUCAGGCAGCACCUGCCCGGGAAGCGGCAGCCACCGGACCCAAGAACACCAAAUCUGGGAAGGCUGUGGCCAAGACUCGGUGGGUGGAGCCUCAGAAGGUUGUGACCUCAGCGGCUGCCAACAGCAAGACGGCCACAAGCAUCCCUGAG